CUCCAGUUGAUCGCAUGGUCUUCUGGGAAAGCUUUCGCGGUAUGGGAUGGGGUCGCGUCCUAUCAGCUUGACGGCGGGGUAACGGCCCACCGUGGCUUCGACGGGUAGCCGGCCUGAGAGGGCGACCGGCCACAUUGGGACUGAGAUACGGCCCAGACUCCUACGGGAGGCAGCAGUGGGGAAUAUUGCACAAUGGGCGCAAGCCUGAUGCAGCGACGCCGCGUGAGGGAUGGAGGCCUUCGGGUUGUAAACCUCUUUUAUCGGGGAGCAAGCGAGAGUGAGUUUACCCGUUGAAUAAGCACCGGCUAACUACGUGCCAGCAGCCGCGGUAAUACGUAGGGUGCAAGCGUUAUCCGGAAUUACUGGGCGUAAAGGGCUCGUAGGCGGUUCGUCGCGUCCGGUGUGAAAGUCCAUCGCUUAACGGUGGAUCCGCGCCGGGUACGGGCGGG
rnacentral:rRNA from 1 species